GAGGAGUUCAGAGGAGGGGAGUGGUGAGGAAGUGGAGCCCGAGUGCUGGUGAAUUUUAUUGAUUUUGUCAUUGAAAAACCAGAGGAGGGACUCACAGGUGUCUGAGGAGUACAUGUGGGGGGUAGGGAGUCCGGGGGUUGAAUGAUUCUGUUAUAAACGGAGACAAAUAGCUCAUAGACAUUUGUAGACAUGAUGUUAGUAAAAGAUUUAAAUCCAAAGUCUUAGCACUGACACAUCAUUAGUUAAUAACCAGUCAGAGCAUUUCCAUAGAGAGCCACUUUGCAUCAGCAGCACCAUGCUCCAGUGCUCUGGGAGAGUUUAUAGUCCUGAGAGUUGAACACUGGAUGACUGACAGCUGUCCUUCAUGACAACAGAAGCCACAGAAAUCCUCCUCUUCAUCAAAAACAUGACUUUGACCUCCGUCCUCAUCUGGACUCUCCUCUGCUUCACUCAGGGGUCUGUUGGACAAAAUGUUGUCUUGACUCAACCAGCAGCCAAAUCAGUGCAGCUGGGUCAGACUGUUUCUAUUGACUGUAAGGCCAAUCCAAAAGUUGCUCUCUACUCUAGAUCACAGUAUUACCUGGCCUGGUACCAACAGAAAACUGGAGAAGCUCCUAAACUUCUGAUCUACAGAACAUCAACCAGAUUUUCUGGAAUCGCCUCCAGAUUCAGUGGAAGUGGAGCAGGAAAUGGAGUUGACUUCACUCUGACCAUCAGUGGAGUUCAGGCUGAAGAUGCAGCAGUUUACUACUGUCAGAGUUAUCACUAUAUCAACAGUCAGCAUGUGUUCACACGCAGUGUGUUCACAAAGCGUCGUACAAAAACCUCCCUCAGUCAGACUGAACAGAAACUGAAGUGA